rnacentral:lncRNA from 1 species
CGAAUAUGAAUGUUUUUAUUUACACAAGUAUGAUUUGCAUAAUUUACAGUAUAUACAUGCACAUAUUUCCAGGAACUUUUAGGGUGAUUACUGUUUUGGAGUAGAAUCCAUUAUUAUAGACAUUCGCAAAUAUAUAUCAGAGCAAUAAAAAUUGAUACAUACUCUUCAGUAUAUGAAAUUUGGGGGAGAAUUAUAGCAACUUGCCUUCUUGCAAAUGAGCAACUAAUUGAUGUUCAGAAUGGUGGGAUGACAUCUGCACUCGAUCAACAGCAAACCCUGAUCUAAUUCAGUCGAGAAACAGAGUUGGACUAAGAAAAAAAUGCCUUUUAAGUAGGUGAGAGAGCAGAGAAAUCAAAUGGUGCCAAGCAAAAAAAGAAAAAGAGAAAACGCCUUUGAUUUCGGAAUUCAAGUUGCCAUAUAUUUUUUUGCAGAGGACUUCAGAUGAAACUUUGCUCAACAUCUAUGUAUUGGACAACUGCUUUUCCUUCUGACUUCCUUAGGUGGGUCAAUUUUGUGUCUCUCCCCAUCUGUUAGGGUAAAAUUUAAUGCCUCAC